rnacentral:rRNA from 1 species
GAUGAACGCUGGCGGCGUGCUUAACACAUGCAAGUCGAACGGAUUUAACAGAAAGCUUGCUUUCGGUUAAAUUAGUGGCGGACGGGUGAGUAACGCGUGGAUAACCUGCCGUAUACAGGGGGAUAACACUUAGAAAUAGGUGCUAAUACCGCAUAAGCGCACAGUUUCGCAUGAGACAGUGUGAAAAACUCCGGUGGUAUACGAUGGAUCCGCGUCUGAUUAGGAGUUGGUGGGGUAACGGCCCACCAAGCCGACGAUCGGUAGCCGAACUGAGAGGUUGAACGGCCACAUUGGAACUGAGAUACGGUCCAGACUCCUACGGGAGGCAGCAGUGGGGAAUAUUGGGCAAUGGGCGAAAGCCUGACCCAGCGACGCCGCGUGAGGGAAGAAGGUCUUCGGAUUGUAAACCUUGUUGACAGGGAGAAACAAAUGACGUAACCUGUCGAGGAAGCCACGGCUAACUACGUGCCAGCAGCCGCGGU